CUUAUGCGUCAAACUCCGUUCAGUUGGUGGAUUUCAUCAUCAGUCAUCACUGGGCAUAGUUUGUCGCAUAAU
rnacentral:pre_miRNA from 1 species